CGUUGAAACACCGUUUCCAGUACGAUAACCGAAGUUAAGCAAUGUCGAGGCUUCUCAGUACCUAGAUGGGUGACCGUCUGGGAAUACCAGGUGCUGUUA